GAUGAACGCUGGCGGCGUGCCUAAUACAUGCAAGUCGAGCGAACAGACGAGGAGCUUGUUCCUCUGACGUUAGCGGCGGACGGGUGAGUAACACGUGGAUAACCUACCUAUAAGACUGGGAUAACUUCGGGACACCGGAGCUAAUACCGGAUAAUAUAUUGAACCGCAUGGUUCAAUAGUGAAAGACGGUUUUGCUGUCACUUAUAGAUGGAUCCGCGCCGCAUUAGCUAGUUGGUAAGGCAAUGGCUUACCAAGGCAACGAUGGGUAGCCGACCUGAGAGGCGGAUCGCCCACACGGGAACUGAGACACGGUCCAGACUCCUACGAGAGGCAGCAGUAGGGAAUCUUCCGCAAUGGGCGAAAGCCUGGCGGAGCAACGCCGCGUCAGUGAUGAAGGUCUUCGGAUCGUAAAACUCUGUUAUUAGUGAAGAACAAAUGUGUAAGUAACUAUGCACGUCUUGACGGUACCUAAUCAGAAAGCAACGGCUAACUACGUG
rnacentral:rRNA from 1 species